CCCGCUGCUGUGAGGCAGGCGCGUUGCGCGGCGAGGGCGGCGCGGCGGCCAUGUUUGGUGCGGGCGGGCGGGGCGCGGUCGCCAUGGGAACGGGCGAGGGCCACACCGCCGGCGGGACAGAGCCGAGCCCGCGGCUGCCUUCCCGGGGGCCGCCUCGCCCGUUUCGGAGCUCCUUUCCCAGGCAGAAGAGCACUUCCCUUGUGAGCAAACAGCCGUGGCUGGUACAGCACAGCGUCAGUCUCACAACACAGGCUUCAAGGAGGAAAGAAGACAAAAAAACCCCCCAGAAAAUACAGCAGCUUGGCCAGCCUGACUCUAGGCUCAGGCCUGGAGGUUGGACAGCACAGCCCCAGCCUCUGGGGAGCUGGGGUCCAGACUGGAGGUGAACCCCACGACAGAGCUCACCCUUUUGCUUCCCUGCGGCACUCAUGCACCCACUCUCGCACUGGAGCUGGGACCCCAGGGGUGCCAGCUGUGCAACACCGCUGCUCUGGUACACUACCUGCCACAGGAGGGACGUGCCAUGCUGUUGCUGCUUCUUCUCAGCCCCUGUUAGCCAGGGCAUGGCCGGAGGGCUCUGUGCUCAGGCUGUGGUGCUGCCUACAUGGAGGCUGUACGUGCCAUUCCUCUCCUCCCAUCCCUGCCCUGGCAGCACGCACAUGUCGCACAUCAGCCUGCUUGUAUCACAGCAAAGCGCUGCAGCCCUCACCACCCUGGCUCCAGUGCCGCUUUCUUCCACGAGUCUCUGCCCAGGACCAGGGCUGUCUGUCGGUUGGUGGUUUGAGAUGAGUUCCUGCAUAGCACAUGGCUUGCUGAGGUGUCAGAUGAGCAGGACAGCGGGAAGCAGCAUGCAGCACUGGAUACAGCAAGGGAGCCCUGCAUAGAUUGGUUAUAAAACUCUCUGUCUUGAUUUUACUGCCUUUGGUAAAGCUUGGUAAAUAUUUCUGGGA